AGAGAUGAAGUUUAAGCUAGGAUGGCUGAUAGAGGACUUGACUUCUGACAGACAAGAAUGCCCACAUUCACAGAAGAACGGAAAGGGAAUUCCGUGUUCCAGGCAGAGCUUGAGCCAGACAGCUUAAAGGUUACUGUACUCAGCAUCAUGAAUGAAGCAGAGCGGACGGGAGUGCCUGGAUGGUGGAGACAAGUGGGGCCCAAGAGAAGACAUGAGGGGGCAGGAUGGAAUGUUUCCCUCAAACUCACAAGUCCCCACUCAUCUCUGAAUAUCUCUCAGGACCCAAUAAAGCGCAUGCUUAGGGCAUCAAAAGUAAACUCAGAAUUAAGGCUAUCUGAAGAGAGAUGAGAAUGAUCUCCAUACACCUUUGACCUUUGUGUAACUUCAGAAAUGGUUUUAUUUCCAGUCUCAGUAUUGUGAAAAUAUGGAAUUACAUG
rnacentral:lncRNA from 1 species